rnacentral:rRNA from 1 species
GAUCAUGGCUCAGAACGAACGCUGGCGGCGCGUUUAAGCAUGCAAGUCGAGCGGCAAGGGCCUUCGGGCCCCUAGAGCGGCGGACGGGUGAGUAACACGUGGACAAUCUCGCCCCCCGGCCCGGGAUAGCCCAGGGAAACCUGGAUUAAUACCGGAUGAGACGGGACCCGCGAUGGCGGGACCCGGGAAAGGCGCUGCGGCGCCGCCGGGGGAUGAGUCUGCGUCCCAUUAGCUAGACGGCGGGGUAACGGCCCACCGUGGCGACGAUGGGUAGCCGGCCUGAGAGGGUGGACGGCCACAUUGGAACUGAGACACGGUCCAGACUCCUACGGGAGGCAGCAGCUAAGAAUCUUCCGCAAUGGGCGAAAGCCUGACGGAGCGACGCCCGCGUGAACGAAGAAGGCCGUGAGGUUGUAAAGUUCUUUUCGGGAGGGGGAACAACCGUGGCAGGGAAUGGCCGCGGGAUGACGUGAAUCCCGGAAUAAGCCCCGGCUAACUACGUGCCAGCCGCUGC